UGCAGAUGGCGAGGAGGGAACGCGUGAUUAAAAGACAACACCGUCGCGUCGGGGCUCUGCAAAAAGCAAUCGCUCUGCCGCUCUCGUGGAACACGCUCCAGUUUGCAUCGAUUUUGGCAGGUAAAGCUGAGGUACUGCAAAACAUGGGAAAGCCUGGCACAAGUGUUCGUCUCGGCAAAAUGAAGUCCGGACACGUCGCCUCCGUAAUCGCGCCUGCUUCUUCCUUGAUGACGGGCAUUCACAAGUCAUACAAGAAAGCGCCGUCCUUUCGUCGUCCAGUUCGGCCCAGCAUCGCUCUGCUGGCUCCCCGAUACGUCCCUUCACUAUCUGCUAUUAUCGAAUCAUCGAGGCGGCAUAUAUGAGGCAGCAAUUUACAACCCUAAUUCUGCUUGCAACCCAUUUGAACGUCGUUCGUAGUCCACUUCAACAGAAUUUGAA
rnacentral:lncRNA from 1 species